GAUGAACGCUGGCGGCGUGCUUAAUACAUGCAAGUCGAACGAUGAAGCCCAGCUUGCUGGGUGGAUUAGUGGCGAACGGGUGAGUAACACGUGAGUAACCUGCCCUUCACUCUGGGAUAAGCCUGUGAAAGAGGGUCUAAUACAGGAUAGGUACGUCCACCGCACGGUGGGUGCUGGAAAGAUUUAUCGGUUUUGUGUGGACUCGCGGCCUAUCUGCUAGUUGGUGAGGUAUUGGCUCAGCAAGGCGACGACGGGUAGCCGGCAUGGGAGGGUGACCGGCCACCCGGGGCCGUAGACACGCCCCAGAAUGCAACGGUACGCAGCAGGGGGGACUAUUGCGCAAUAGGCCCCCGCCAGAUACGGCGGCGCCGCGUUAGGGAUGACGGCCUUCAGGUUGUCAACCACUUUCUAUAGGGAUGAAGCGAUAGUGACGGUACCUGACGAGAAAGCACCGGCUAACUACGUG
rnacentral:rRNA from 1 species